UGGAAAUCACCAGGGAUCUCGUGCGUUCCUGGCCAUGGCGUGCCCCAGAUUUCGGAUCCAGCUAUAAAGCCGUGCUCCUAGACUCCCUCCUCUUCUUCCUCUUUCGCCAACGGCACCAUAGAAGUGAAAGCAGAUGAGUGAGCCAGCUAGCGCCGUCGUUGACUCGCGUGCCCGUCGUGCCGCCGCACCGCAUUUGGUGCCCACCGCGGUCGGGUGUCCGUGUGGAGGUCGCGGGAAUCGCCAGUAGGCAGGGAUCGCUCUCGCACGGGACCUAGCGCUGGAGGUCAGCCGUGGUGGGCGAAUUGGCCGUCGGAGUUGGGGAAGAGGGCCGCGGAUACAAGCCUCGCCGCCGAGACCACUGACCAUCUCCUAUGCGGUAAGAACUCUAUCAUCUUGCUCGAAUCGCCCAUAGUAUCGUAUCGCGCCGCGUGUGACCGUGUAGAGAACUUGGGGGCUGGGAAUUGGUUGCCGUGAUGGCUUCGGCAUCUGGGGACCGCACCAUCGCGGUGACUGGAGCACUUGGAGCUCAAUUAGUGAAAUUGAGCUUACGAUUAGAGUCGUCGUGAACUGCGCAUUGUGUUGGUACCCUCGGGUGCGCUUAUGGGGCAUCGGAACACCAAAUGGCAUGCUCGCCGGCGUUCGGCCGCCGCGGGAGGGCGGCGCCGCCACGCGGAUGGCCCAGGAAGGGGAGAGAUGAGCUCGAACCGGCGAUAUCGUUACGGAGGGCUAGGAUUAGUUAAUGUGUGCCCCCCUUCAUGCGAUCAUAUCGCGACCGUUGGAUCGCUGGUGAACGACUCGGAUCAGACCCAGAAGCCCCUUUUAGGUGAUCGAAUCCGAUCCGUAGGAUUUGGAUCCGAUGAUCGGGAUUACAUACCGAUUCACGCGGAUGUUGUUUUAAUCUGGUGCGUACAUCUCAGAUCUGAUGGCCAAUAUCACCCGAUACCCUUUCGCUCUGCUCAUUUACAUAAGAAACCCUAUGAUAUUUGAGAAUGAACCCGCCAUCCGUGGGAGCGGUGCUCUAUGUCUGCAGAUUCUUACCCCUAGACCCCCUAACGUUUCCAGAAAUUGGCGCCCAGUCCAGAGUAGAUUAAAAAUAGUGAAAUAACAUUAGAAAUUCGUUUUUAAUACAAAAAUAAAUCUAUAAACUUGUUUAUUGCAUAGAAAAUUCAUUCUAGCUCCAAAUUGAGCCAUUCCAAUUUCUAAAAUUUUAUAAUAAUAUUCUCUAUCAUUUAGUGUCUCUGUUUAUACAUGAAAACAAUAAAAAAAAAUUUAUCAUUUAAUCCUAUUUUAAGCACAUUAAAUCUUAGAAAAUUCAUAACUUGAAUUCUAUAACUCCAAAUUUAGUGAUUCCAGUUCCUAUGAUUUUAUUUUAAUAUGUAGAUUUUUAUUGUGUAUUUUAUUCACAUGUUUGGUGCAAUGUUAAUUCUUGCUAUACCAUGUAUGUAUUGUGUUGAUACGAGUAGACGAGCAAGCCACUGUAGAUUCUGAGGUUCAGCAAGUAGAAGUAGCUGAGCAGGAGCUCAUUGAAGGCAAGUUGUGCCCUUGAUCACUUACUUUUUCCCAGCCAUGUUCUUAUUAAUUAUAAUGAUCUGCAUAGGAUAAUUUUGAUGGGACCCAAUAUGUAACGCCCUGAAUUUGGGGGUAGAAUUUUUUCUUCUUUUCUCUCACCAAAUUCGGGCGUUACUCUCUUUUCUCUUCCCCGUUUGCUCCUUCUUCCCAAUUUCAAACCAGUAUAGCGGCAGGUGUCCGUGUCACGUAUAAACCAAAACCUAAGUGUCAUGGGUGUUGCAUCAUGCCGAAGCACAUUUCUUUGUCUGAUGUUGAGUGUUCGUCUCGUUCCGUUCCGGAUUUCGGUUCGCGAUUUAAUUCUGUUUAGUGGUCCGCGCUCGUCGUGGGUUUUCGAUCCGCGAAGUGGCCCGGCCCAGCCCAGCCUAGUCCAGCCCAGCCCAGCCGGCCCGGCCCGCCCCGGCCUGCGCGCCCCUGGCGCCCAAACCCCCCAUGCGCCCCCACCCCUCUCUCUCUCUCAUUUGGAUCUCCCGCGCAACAACCUCUCCUCUCCCUCUUCCACCUCUCUCUCCCCGUGGUGCCCUAGGAUUUGGAGACGGCGAUCACCGGAUUUUGGACCCCGAGGUGAGCUCCCCUCCCCUCCCCUUCUUCUCUCCCUCUCCCUCCUCUUCUUCCCCCCGCGCGCGCCCUCCCUUUUCCCCUGCCCGCACGCGCCCCUGCCCGCCCCUCCCCGGUCCCGCGCGGCGGCGCUCGGCCCCGCCCCGGCCUCCCUGGCGGUGCUCGGCUCCCGCUCGGCCCUCCCCGGCGCAGCGGCGCCCGUCCCCGGCCUCCCCUCGCGCGGCCCCGCCCGGUCUCCCUCCCCGAGGCGGCGCUCGACCCCUCCCCCUCCCUCCCCGGCGGCGCUCGGCCCCGUCCCGGCCUCCCCGGCGGCGCUCGGCCCCCCCCGCCCGGCCUCCCUCCCCUCGCGCGCGGCGGCGGCGCCCGCCCCUCCCCCUCGCGCGCGGUGGCGGCGCCCGCCCCCACCCCGGCCCGCGGCGGCGCCCACCCAUCCCCGCCCCUCCCCGGCGCGGCAGCGCCCGCCCCCUGCCCCGGCCCCUGCGCGCGGCGGCGCCCGCCCCGUCCCGGCCCCGUGGCGGCGCUCGCCCCUGCCCCGGCCCCUGCGCGUGGCGCUCGCCCACCCCACCCCCGGCUCGGCCGCCCGCCUCCCGGCGAGCUCGGUCGCCCCUGGCCGGUUCAACCGCCCCCCUGGCCGGUUCAACCGCCCCGGCCCCGGCUCGGCCGCCCGUUCCCCCGUCCCGGCCUCGCCCGACCGUGUCCCCGCUCGCCCGCGCUCGCGGUGAUUAUUUGUUAAUUAGCGUGUUGCGUCGCGCACUUCGUCGCGCAACGGAUUUGUCUAAUUUCAGAUUCUAUCUGUGUGUUGCGUCGUGCGCUUCGUCGCGCGACGAUCCAUUUUUGUUUCAGGUUGUUUAAGGUGUAACGCCGCGUGUGUAUUCACGCGACGUUCCACUUUGGACUCAGUUUAGUCGACGUAUGCCGUCGUGCGCUUCGUCGCGCGACGCUUAACGUCUCCUCAUAACUAAGGCGAAGUGUCUCGUUGCGUGCUCGGUCGCGCGACGAGUCGUUAACUUCUUAAUUUGUUUUAGAGAGCUUUGUCGCGCGUCUCGCCGCGCGACUAUCCUUUUAUUUAUCUCCACCUGCUUAUAAUAAUUAGACAUGAAACAUGACUUUACUUUACGCUAAACAUAGUGUCUGCAUUAAAUUUCCUUCCAUUAAGCGAGUGGUUAAUUUAUAAUCAUGUAACGUGACCGUUUCUCGACUGUCUUGUUCUCUUUCUCUCUUAACUGUAACUGCGAGCCCGCGUGGAACGUCUGUUUACUUACUGCAUUCUAUUGUAUGGUGUACUGUUCUUUUGUAUUAAAUGUGUGGAUGUAUGUGUGUUUGCGCUCGCAUAGAGAACGAUCCGGUCGGAGAACCCGAAGAACUCGCAGGAGAAGCCCCUGAGCAGCAGUCGGUUGGUGGAGGCAAGUGUCCCUUGACCUAUCUCUGUCCUAUUCAUUAUUUAAUUCACCUCCCGCUUUACACAUUUAUGCCUAAGGAUUGACUAGCUUUUGUUAUCCAUGUCCUUGUUUACCUAUUUGGGUUGGAUUAUUAUUGUUUAGCCUUAUGCUAUUGCUCAAACUCUAAUCAAUGAACAUGAUGAGAUUAUCUAUGAUACGCUGUUUUCCCCUUCUUUUAUUAUGAUGUUAUACUUGUGGUCUUCAAGGGGGCUCGAGCGGUUUCUCGAGUGCCUCUCCGUAAGGACCUGUUCUAUGGAUGACCGCCCAGGAAAACAGUGCAACCAUGAGGGUGGAAUGGGAUGCCCUUAGCUGAAUAAUUAGAGGAUCCGGGGUGUAGUUCACUUAGCCGUCGUGCCGUCAAUGGGGCUCGGUGUAUGCGGCUCGCUCUGCCAAGUUUGGGUUCGCCCCUUGGGGAGGAGUGCGGUGCAUUUAGGAAACCUAACGGGUGGCUACAGCCCCGGGGAAUCUUUGUAAAGGCUACGUAGUGAUGCCCUGCUGGGUCACCUUGGUAGUGAUCAAUGGACAGUCAUGAUCUCCGGGCAGAAAGGGAAUCACGGCUUGUGGGUAAAGUGCACAACCUAUGCAGAGUGUUUGAAAACUGAUAUAUCAGCCGUGCUCGCGGUUAUGAGCGGCCAAGGGAGCUCCAGUGAUUAGUGGUACUUGAUCAGAGAUACUUUGGUACAGGUGGUUAUGAGAUUGAUGGUUUUGGUUAUGACUAUGGUGCUGGUAAGUGGUAUUCUUUCCGUUUGGAAAGGGUACAUCGGGUUAACAACUUGGGUUAAUGCUAAAACUUGGCUUUCUAUUAGUAAAUAAUAAUCUGACCAACUAAAAGCAGCUGCUUGACUUAUCCCCACAUACAGCUAGUCCACUACAGCCAAACAGGAUACUUGCUGAGUAUGUUGAUGUGUACUCACCCUUGCUCUACACACCAAACCCCCCCAUCCCCAGGUUGUCAGCAUUGCAACCACUG
rnacentral:lncRNA from 1 species